GAUGAACGCUAGCGGCAGGCUUAAUACAUGCAAGUCGAGGGGCAGCACGGUUAGCAAUAACUGGUGGCGACCGGCGCACGGGUGCGUAACACGUAUACAAUCUACCUUAAACAGGGGGAUAGCCUUUCGAAAGAGAGAUUAAUACCCCGUAAUAAAUUGAACGGCAUCGUUUGAUUUUGAAAGCUCCGGCGGUUUGAGAUGAGUAUGCGUCUGAUUAGCUAGUUGGUGAGGUAACGGCUCACCAAGGCGACGAUCAGUAGGGGAUCUGAGAGGACUAACCCCCACACUGGUACUGAGACACGGACCAGACUCCUACGGGAGGCAGCAGUAAGGAAUAUUGGUCAAUGGAGGCAACUCUGAACCAGCCAUGCCGCAUGCAGGAUGACGGCCCUAUGGGUUGUAAACUGCUUUUAUACAAGAGAAAACCCUGGUACGUGUACCAGGUUGAUAGUAUUGUAAGAAUAAGCAUCGGCUAACUUCGUGCCAGCAGCCGCGGUAAU
rnacentral:rRNA from 1 species